AUCCCAGUUCGGAUUGCAGGCUGCAACCCGCCUGUAUGAAGUUGGAAUCGCUAGUAAUCGCGGAUCAGCAUGCCGCGGUGAAUACGUUCCCGGGCCUUGUACACACCGCCCGUCACACCAUGAGAGUCGGGAACACCCGAAGUCCGUAGCCUAACCGCGAAGGGGGCGCGGCCGAAGGUGGGUUCGAUAAUUGGGGUGAAGUCGUAACAAGGUAGC
rnacentral:rRNA from 1 species